rnacentral:rRNA from 1 species
GUAGGUGGCAAGCGUUGUCCGGAAUUAUUGGGCGUAAAGCGCGCGCAGGCGGUUCUUUAAGUCUGAUGUGAAAGCCCACGGCUCAACCGUGGAGGGUCAUUGGAAACUGGAGAACCUGAGUACAGAAGAGGAAAGCGGAAUUCCACGUGUAGCGGUGAAAUGCGUAGAGAUGUGGAGGAACACCAGUGGCGAAGGCGGCUUUCUGGUCUGUAACUGACGCUGAGGCGCGAAAGCGUGGGGAGCAAACAGGAUUAGAUACCCUGGUAGUCCACGCCGUAAACGAUGAGUGCUAAGUGUUAGGGGGUUUCCGCCCCCCUUAGUGCUGCAGCUAACGCAUUAAGCACUCCGCCUGGGAGUACGGCCGCAAGGCUG